rnacentral:rRNA from 1 species
CACGGGGGUUGCGAGCGUUGUCCGGAAUUACUAGGCGUAAAGGGCAGGCAGGCGGAUCCAUAAGUUUAUCGUUUAAGGCGUCGGCUUAACCGGCGUAGGGCGGUAGAUACUGUGGAUCUGGAAUGCGGUUGGGGAAGACAGAAUUCCUGGUGUAGCGGUGGAAUGCGCAGAGAUCAGGAGGAAUACCGAAGGCGAAGGCAGUCUUCCAAGCCGUUAUUGACGCUCAACUGCGAAGGUGCGGGUAUCAAACAGGAUUAGAUACCCCUGUAGUUCCUGAG